ACCUCCUCACCUCACAAAGAUUUAUAAUGACGCUGAUAGCUGAACCAGGAAGAAGGGGAGCUGAGAGAAGUGAAACUACAGAUGAAGGAGGAGACGGAGAGAUUCAGGGAGGAGCUGAGCUGUUACUGAACUAUAGAACAGACACAAACUUCCACAUUCAACACAGUUCAACAUACAAACCACAAACAUUCACUCUGUUCAACAUGGACUGUUGUGGGCUUUUUCUGCUGGUUGUCACUAUUCUAACAGGAGUCAGCUGUGAACAGCUGACUGCAGUGAAGAAUGAAGAGUCCAGUUUAGAAGGAGCCACUGUUACUCUGUCCUACAAUUACUCUAGAGAUGCUGCUAUUGGUGAUUAUUUCUUCUGGUACCGGCAACAUCCAGGAGAACCUCCAGAGUUCCUGAUCUCUCACACAGGAACAGAAACACUUCUAUCACAGAAAGUGUCUGGACUGAGUUUUACUGUGAGUGAUGAUAAAAGACGCGUGGACCUGCUGAUCUCCUCUGCUGCAGCGACAGACUCUGCUGUGUACUACUGUGCUGUGAAGCCCACAGUGACAGGAAACAGUAAAAUUGUGUAGAAAACCUGCAGAGCAAAGACAACACAAUACUCCACAACAUCCACUAGAGGGACUCACACAGUGGGAACUCACUGGUUGUUGAGUUGUUGGACUGAUGACAAAGACAACAGACACACGAAGCAGCAGAAACAAG